rnacentral:rRNA from 1 species
UACGAAGGGUGCAAGCGUUAAUCGGAAUUACUGGGCGUAAAGGGUGCGUAGGCGGUUCGUUAAGUCUGUCGUGAAAUCCCCGGGCUCAACCUGGGAAUGGCGAUGGAUACUGGCGAGCUAGAGUGUGUCAGAGGACGGUGGAAUUCCCGGUGUAGCGGUGAAAUGCGUAGAGAUCGGGAGGAACAUCAGUGGCGAAGGCGGCCAUCUGGGACAACACUGACGCUGAAGCACGAAAGCGUGGGGAGCAAACAGG